UUCACUGUGUUGAUUCCCAAUUACGGACACUGAGAAUGCUCUCUGAGUACUGGCUAAGAAAAGUUCUGGAGCAAUGAGGCCCACAUGGGGAAUACCAGCCUAGUCUCGGAGAGUUAGAGAACUUCCCAGAAGGGAGGAAGCCGAAGGUGACACUGAAGAACUGGAGGUUUUGAUCCUCCCCUUCUGGUGUUAAAAGAAAGACCUACCCUACCAAGGUUCAUGGCUGUGCUCUCAAAAAGACCAGCAGAAGAAAAUGAUGAAAGUAUAAGUUAAUAAGGCUCUGCUGGCCCCUCUCUUUGGCUCCCAGGAUGCAGUCUUGCAGGUUAAUGCUUCCAAUUGAGCAACUUCAAAAUGGCUGUGAAUCCGAGGAGAGCAGAGAAAGAUCUGCGUCUCUCCCAGCUUCCUCGGACUGUUCCGUAGGCACCGAGACGAACCGAAUGGAACCGGAGCGAUUGCGUAGGCGUCCAGCAAGAGGCUGAUGAGGACACCAAAUAAUGGAAACAGCCGAUUUUGUUGGGAUGGUGGAAUUUCUGGGAGAAGGCUC
rnacentral:lncRNA from 1 species